CCUUCCCUCUUCCGCGGCUCUGCCUUCGUGCAAACGACCCUGACCCGGGGACAGCCCGGGUACUGCUCUUUAACCCCCUGCUGCUCAGAUUCUUCACGCAGCCUAAAGAGGCGGCCAAGCCUGUAAGUCUCACUUUGCAGAUGUAGAAGCAGAGGCUCAGCAGGGCAGAUCUCCUCCCGAAGUCCCGGGACCAUCAGAGAUGGUUCAUUUUGACCGAGGCCCGUCUGGUGGUUCGUUGCUGUGAUGUAUUUCGGCAUCAUCGACGCAGGUUCACCAGCCUCAUCUCGACCUUGGAAAUGUUGCGGUAUUUUACAGUGUGUGGUGACAUUUAUGGGCCCAUUUGGACACCCACAAAGAGGUUGAUUUCCAUAGAUUAAAUGUCAAGUUUGAAGCCAUCCAGGGUAAUUGAAUCCUUGAAUGUUGUCCACUUCGAUUCUCAGCUGGGGCCGUUGACUGGACAUUUGUGCUCUGUUACAAACUCUUGAGUGCAGCCCAAAUUGCUUAAUGCCAAAAGGUCACUCUGUGAGUCCAGGGGGAGGGUGUCGGUAGGGAGGACCAUGGCACUGGAGUUUGAUACCUGCAGAAAUGUUGCCUUGUUUUUAUUUCUUUAAAUGAAAGCACAUAUGUGGUUAGUUGGUGAAUACAUUACCGGGGACAGAAGAAAAAAAACCCCACCAACUAAGACUUCCUAGAUGUCAGUUAGUUUAAAAUAUCUAACCAUCUAUGUUUUGUCAAGAGCAAAAGGCUAAAAAGAACUUCACUGUAAUGUUUUAAGUAGGAAUAGUU
rnacentral:lncRNA from 1 species